GUGAACGCUGGCGGCGUGCUUAACACAUGCAAGUCGAACGGACUUAAUGAGCUUGCUUAUUAAGUUAGUGGCGCACGGGUGAGUAAUAUAUAGCUAACCUGCCCUUUAGUGGGGGACAACAGUUGGAAACGACUGCUAAUACCCCAUACUCCUUCUUGUCUUAAGAUACGUUGGGAAAGAUUUAUCGCUAAAGGAUGGGGCUGUAUUGUAUCAGCUAGUUGGUGGGGUAAUGGCCUACCAAGGCAAUGACGCAUACCUGGUCUGAGAGGAUGAUCAGGCAGACUGGGACUGAGACACGGUCCAGACUCCUACGGGAGGCAGCAGUGGGGAAUAUUGCACAAUGGAGGAAGCUCUGAUGCAGCAACGCCGCGUGGAGGAUGACGCAUUUCGGUGUGUAAACUCCUUUUAUAUGUCAAGAAAAUGACGGUAGCAUAUGAAUAAGUAACGGCUAACUCCGU
rnacentral:rRNA from 1 species